rnacentral:miRNA from 1 species
GCCGGCUGGAAGGGUUUCCUUCCAGCCGGCAAGGUACAUGUACCUCGUCGACUGGAAGGAUUUCCUUCCAGCUGUCGAGGUACAUGUACCUCGCCGGCUGGAAGGAAACCCUUCCAGCCGGC